AAACCUCGGAUCGACGCUUCGACCCCGUCGGAGUUCGGUCUGGACUUGUGGGAGUCUGCGGGCGAAGCGUGACUUCGUCGGCUCUCCUCAAAAGCAUUAGCCGUGGGCGGCGAGCCUGGCAUGGCACGGCCCCUUCGACGUCGUAAUGAUCGUCGUGGGCCGGAAGCGUGUACGGCUCGACGGGACCCGUGCUUCGCGAGUCUUGCGAGCCCGUCCCUCGUCGGACGGCCGCGCCCCAUCGAA
rnacentral:misc_RNA from 1 species